GUUCCAGCCCUGGGGAAGGCUGUUUUCUUUCGCAUCUCUUAAUGUCUCUUGGGAGAUAGCAUGGAAAACCAGUGUACUCUCUCACCAUGAGUUUUCUCAUCUUUAAAACUGGAACAAGAUCGGCUACGUUUGAAGAUCAAAUGAGACACUGUAUAUGAAGAGUUUAAUGUAGCUGACUCGUGGAUGCCAACAAAGCUUACUCUUGCUGUACCAUUCAUCCAAGAGUUUGACUCAUGUUACAGUCUGAAGUCUGUUCCUAUGGCCCCCGUUACCUUUCAUAAUGAACGGACAUGGACAUCAUAUUGCCUUUCUGAGGUACUUUGACAAAAUGUGAAGCUUGGAUCCUUGUUGCCACUCCUGCAAAAUAAGUUAUUCAUAUCUGUUUCUCUAAAGAACUGUCUGCACAUGGAAUACUUUGGCAAAUACGAAUUUUUUAGUAUGUAUUUUUAUUGAUUUUUUUUCAUAUAAUAUACUCUGAU
rnacentral:lncRNA from 1 species